UACGGAGGGUGCAAGCGUUGCUCGGAAUUAUUGGGCGUAAAGGGUAGGUAGGUGGUCUUAUUUGUCUGGGGUGAAAGCCUUGAGCUUAACUCAAGAAGUGCCCUAGAAACGGUAAGACUGGAGUCCUGGAGAGGGUCGUGGAAUUCCCGGUGUAGCGGUGAAAUGCGUAGAGAUCGGGAGGAACACCAGAGGCGAAGGCGGCGACCUGGACAGGCACUGACACUCAACUACGAAAGCGUGGGGAGCAAACAGG
rnacentral:rRNA from 1 species